CGGGACACGUGGUAUCCUGUCUGAAUAUGGGGGGACCAUCCUCCAAGGCUAAAUACUCCUGACUGACCGAUAGUGAACCAGUACCGUGAGGGAAAGGCGAAAAGAACCCCGGCGAGGGGAGUGAAAAAGAACCUGAAACCGUGUACGUACAAGCAGUGGGAGCCUCUUUUAUGGGGUGACUGCGUACCUUUUGUAUAAUGGGUCAGCGACUUAUAUUCUGUAGCAAGGUUAACCGAAUAGGGGAGCCGAAGGGAAACCGAGUCUUAACUGGGCGUUAAGUUGCAGGGUAUAGACCCGAAACCCGGUGAUCUAGCCAUGGGCAGGUUGAAGGUUGGGUAACACUAACUGGAGGACCGAACCGACUAAUGUUGAAAAAUUAGCGGAUGACUUGUGGCUGGGGGUGAAAGGCCAAUCAAACCGGGAGAUAGCUGGUUCUCCCCGAAAGCUAUUUAGGUAGCGCCUCGUGAAUUCAUCUCCGGGGGUAGAGCACUGUUUCGGCAAGGGGGUCAUCCCGACUUACCAACCCGAUGCAAACUGCGAAUACCGGAGAAUGUUAUCACGGGAGACACACGGCGGGUGCUAACGUCCGUCGUGAAGAGGGAAACAACCCAGACCGCCAGCUAAGGUCCCAAAGUCAUGGUUAAGUGGGAAACGAUGUGGGAAGGCCCAGACAGCCAGGAUGUUGGCUUAGAAGCAGCCAUCAUUUAAAGAAAGCGUAAUAGCUCACUGGUCGAGUCGGCCUGCGCGGAAGAUGUAACGGGGCUAAACCAUGCACCGAAGCUGCGGCAGCGACACUGUGUGUUGUUGGGUAGGGGAGCGUUCUGUAAGCCUGUGAAGGUGUGCUGUGAGGCAUGCUGGAGGUAUCAGAAGUGCGAAUGCUGACAUAAGUAACGAUAAAGCGGGUGAAAAGCCCGCUCGCCGGAAGACCAAGGGUUCCUGUCCAACGUUAAUCGGGGCAGGGUGAGUCGACCCCUAAGGCGAGGCCGAAAGGCGUAGUCGAUGGGAAACAGGUUAAUAUUCCUGUACUUGGUGUUACUGCGAAGGGGGGACGGAGAAGGCUAUGUUGGCCGGGCGACGGUUGUCCCGGUUUAAGCGUGUAGGCUGGUUUUCCAGGCAAAUCCGGAAAAUCAAGGCUGAGGCGUGAUGACGAGGCACUACGGUGCUGAAGCAACAAAUGCCCUGCUUCCAGGAAAAGCCUCUAAGCAUCAGGUAACAUCAAAUCGUACCCCAAACCGACACAGGUGGUCAGGUAGAGAAUACCAAGGCGCUUGAGAGAACUCGGGUGAAGGAACUAGGCAAAAUGGUGCCGUAACUUCGGGAGAAGGCACGCUGAUAUGUAGGUGAAGUCCCUCGCGGAUGGAGCUGAAAUCAGUCGAAGAUACCAGCUGGCUGCAACUGUUUAUUAAAAACACAGCACUGUGCAAACACGAAAGUGGACGUAUACGGUGUGACGCCUGCCCGGUGCCGGAAGGUUAAUUGAUGGGGUCAGCGCAAGCGAAGCUCUUGAUCGAAGCCCCGGUAAACGGCGGCCGUAACUAUAACGGUCCUAAGGUAGCGAAAUUCCUUGUCGGGUAAGUUCCGACCUGCACGAAUGGCGUAAUGAUGGCCAGGCUGUCUCCACCCGAGACUCAGUGAAAUUGAACUCGCUGUGAAGAUGCAGUGUACCCGCGGCAAGACGGAAAGACCCCGUGAACCUUUACUAUAGCUUGACACUGAACAUUGAGCCUUGAUGUGUAGGAUAGGUGGGAGGCUUUGAAGUGUGGACGCCAGUCUGCAUGGAGCCGACCUUGAAAUACCACCCUUUAAUGUUUGAUGUUCUAACGUGGACCCGUGAUCCGGGUUGCGGACAGUGUCUGGUGGGUAGUUUGACUGGGGCGGUCUCCUCCUAAAGAGUAACGGAGGAGCACGAAGGUUGGCUAAUCCUGGUCGGACAUCAGGAGGUUAGUGCAAUGGCAUAAGCCAGCUUGACUGCGAGCGUGACGGCGCGAGCAGGUGCGAAAGCAGGUCAUAGUGAUCCGGUGGUUCUGAAUGGAAGGGCCAUCGCUCAACGGAUAAAAGGUACUCCGGGGAUAACAGGCUGAUACCGCCCAAGAGUUCAUAUCGACGGCGGUGUUUGGCACCUCGAUGUCGGCUCAUCACAUCCUGGGGCUGAAGUAGGUCCCAAGGGUAUGGCUGUUCGCCAUUUAAAGUGGUACGCGAGCUGGGUUUAGAACGUCGUGAGACAGUUCGGUCCCUAUCUGCCGUGGGCGCUGGAGAACUGAGGGGGGCUGCUCCUAGUACGAGAGGACCGGAGUGGACGCAUCACUGGUGUUCGGGUUGUCAUGCCAAUGGCACUGCCCGGUAGCUAAAUGCGGAAGAGAUAAGUGCUGAAAGCAUCUAAGCACGAAACUUGCCCCGAGAUGAGUUCUCCCUGACCCUUUAAGGGUCCUGAAGGAACGUUGAAGACGACGACGUUGAUAGGCCGGGUGUGUAAGCGCAGCGAUGCGUUGAGCUAACCGGUACUAAUGAACCGUGAGGCUUAACCUU
rnacentral:rRNA from 1 species